UUAUAAGGUAGUUUAUAAAAAUACCGGUUUUGGGGGCUGGUGAUGGGAGGUUAAGCUCUCUCUUCUGA
rnacentral:tRNA from 1 species